UGUGUGUUUGUGUAUGUAUGCAUGUGCAUGUGUAUGUAUGCAUAUGCAUAUAUGUAUGUGUAUACAUAUAUAUUACAUGCAAUACAGACAGAAUCAAAAU
rnacentral:miRNA from 1 species